UAGCAUAUUACAUUUGACGUUAGCUGCAGAAGAAGCACCGGCUAACUCCGUGCCAGCAGCCGCGGUAAUACGGAGGGUGCGAGCGUUAAUCGGAAUUACUGGGCGUAAAGCGCAUGCUAGGUGGUUUGUUAAGUCAGAUGUGAAAGCCCGGGGCUACAACCUACGGAAUUGCAUUUGUAAACUGGACAAACUAGAGUACUGUAGAGGGGGUAGAAUUUCAGGUGUAGCGGUGAAAUGCGUAGAGAUCUGAAGGAAUACCGGUGGCGAAGGCGGCCCCCUGGACAGAUACUGACACUCAGAUGCGAAAGCGUGGGGAGCAAACAGGAUUAGAUACCCUGGUAG
rnacentral:rRNA from 1 species